rnacentral:rRNA from 1 species
UACGUAGGCAGCGAGCGUUGUUCGGAGUUACUGGGCGUAAAGGGUGCGUAGGCGGUUGUUUUAAGUUUGGUGUGAAAUCUCCCGGCUCAACUGGGAGGGUGCGCCGAAUACUGAAUGACUAGAGUGCGGGAGAGGAGAGUGGAAUUCCUGGUGUAGCGGUGAAAUGCGUAGAUAUCAGGAGGAACACCGGUGGUGUAGACGGCUCUCUGGACCGAUACUGACGCUGAGGCGCGAAAAGCGUGGGGAGCAAACAGG